rnacentral:tRNA from 1 species
GCGGCAGUAGCUCAGGUGGUAGAGCACCGGCUUCCCAAGCCGGUUGUCGAGGGUUCGAAUCCCUUCUGCCGCUCUA